AACAAAGCAACACAAUUAUUCGGCGAGCGGAGAAAGUUGCGGGCGAGAAAACACAGAGAUCCAGAGUGAUGAUGAUGGAUGCGGGAAACAUUGGCAAGGUAAUAAAUUGUCCAAAGAGCAAAUGAGUGGUUUGUCAUGAACAGGCGGCUC
ensembl:ncRNA K06C4.18 ncRNA